rfam:Aedes aegypti strain Liverpool supercont1.105 genomic scaffold, whole genome shotgun sequence.
CCUCUCACGGCGUAGUGGUAACGCGCCCCAACUAGAGAUCGGGGAGUCGUGAGUUCGAUUCUCACUGAGAAGA